UACAGAGGUCUCAAGCGUUGUUCGGAUUCAUUGGGCGUAAAGGGUGUGUAGGUGGCGCCGUAAGUCGGGUGUGAAAUUUCGGAGCUUAACUCCGAAACUGCAUUCCAUACUGCGGUGCUUGAGGACUGGAGAGGAGACUGGAAUUUACGGUGUAGCAGUGAAAUGCGUAGAGAUCGUAAGGAAGACCAGUGGCGAAGGCGGGUCUCUGGACAGUUCCUGACACUGAGGCACGAAGGCCAGGGGAGCAAACGGG
rnacentral:rRNA from 1 species